rnacentral:rRNA from 1 species
UCAAGCUAAGAAGAGCGCAGGGCGAAUGCCUUGGCACUGGGAGCCGACGAAGGACGCGAUAAGCUGCGAUAAGCCGCGGGGAGGAGCAAAUAUCCAUUGAUCCGCGGAUUUCCGAAUGGAGAAAUCCGUAUGGAGAAGUCCAUACAUCAUAUACUGAAUCCAUAGGUAUAUGAGGGAAACCGCCUGAACUGAAACAUCUAAGUAGGGCGAGGAAAAGAAAUCAACCGAGAUACCGCAAGUAGUGGCGAGCGAACGCGGCAGAGGCCAAACCCGUAGUAGAAAUACUAUGGGGGUUGCGGACUGCAUUUAGCAUUGUUGAUCUUUAACCGAAGGGCAUGGGAAGGCCCACCGAAGAACGUGAGAGUCGUGUAGGUGAAAAGGAGAGACAGCGAGCAGGAUCCAGAGUACCGCGGGACACGAGGAAUCCCGUGGGAAGCCGGGGGGACCACCCUCCAAGCCUAAAUACUACCCAGUGACCGAUAGCGUAUAGUACUGUGAAGGAAAGGUGAAAAGGACCCCGGGAGGGGAGUGAAAUAGAACCUGAAACCCUGUGCUUACAAGCACCGAGAGCCCGUCAAUGGGUGAUCGGGUACUUUUUGUAGAACGGUCCGGCGAGUAUAUGGAACAAGCAAGGUUAAGGUCUUCAGGACCGAAGCCGAAGGGAAACCAAGUCUUAAUAGGGCGCACAGUUUGUUUCAUAUGACCCGAAACCGGGUGACCUAUCCAUGUCCAGGUUGAAGUGGCGGUAAAACGCCAUGGAGGACCGAACCAACCCCCGUUGAAAAGGUGGUGGAUGAGGUGUGGAUAGCGGAGAAAUUCCAAUCGAACUCGGAUAUAGCUGGUUCUCCCCGAAAUAGCUUUAGGGCUAGCGUUGUGUUAGAUUACCGGAGGUAAAGCACUGAAUAGGCUAGGGGGCGAGAGUCUACCGACCCUUAUCAAACUCUGAAUGCCGGAUAAUUGAUGCACAGCAGUCAGACAGUGUGAGAUAAGUUUCAUUGUCAAAAGGGAAACAGCCCAGACCCACAGCUAAGGUCCCAAAUGUAUGUUAAGUGGAAAAGGAUGUCCAGUUGCACAAACAACCAGGAUGUUGGCUUAGAAGCAGCCACACAUUCAAAGAGUGCGUAACAGCUCACUGGUCGAGUGACCGGGCGCCGAAAAUGUAACGGGGCUAAACAUACAACCGAAGCUUGGGCUGCACAGCAAUGUGCGGGGUAGGGGAGCGUUGUGUGCGGGGAGAAGCACGAGCGGAAGCGCGUGUGGACUGCACAGAAGUGAGAAUGCCGGAAUGAGUAGCGCGAAUUAUGUGAGAAUCAUAAUGGCCGAAAGCCUAAGGUUUCUGGAGGAAGGUUCGUCCGCUCCAGGUUAGCCGGGAGCUAAGGUGAGGCCGAAAGGCGUAGCCGAUGCACAUACGGUGGAGAUUCCGUAGCCAUCAAAAGAUUUAAGCAGAGGGACACAGUAGAAGGGUACAUGCCGGGCGUUGGUAGCCCCGGUUGCAAGGGACCGAAAUUAGAGUAGGGAAGAUGGACUUGGAUACUGGCGAGAAAAGCUCUGUGGAUAUCUGCGAUGCCCGUACCGCAAACCGACACAGGUAGGUAGGAAGAGGAUUCUAAGGCCAACGGGAGAAGGGUUGUUAAGGAACUCGGCAAGUUGACCCCGUAACUUCGGGAGAAGGGGUGCUCUGGAAACAGAGCCGCAGAGAAUAGGUCCAGGCAACUGUUUAGCAAAAACACAGCUCUCUGCUAAAUCGAAAGAUGAUGUAUAGGGGGUGACGCCUGCCCGGUGCUGGAAGGUUAAGAGGAGGAGUGAGAGCCCCGAAUCGAAGCCCCAGUAAACGGCGGCCGUAACUAUAACGGUCCUAAGGUAGCGAAAUUCCUUGUCAGGUAAGUUCUGACCCGCACGAAAGGCGUAAUGA